AUUGAACGCUGGCGGCAGGCCUAACACAUGCAAGUCGAGCGGAGCGGCGGACGGGUGCGUAAUGCCAAGGAAUCUGCCUGGUAGUGGGGGAUAACGUCCGGAAACGGACGCUGAUACCGCAUCCUAUCAGAUUAGCCUAGGUGGGAUUAGCUAGGUGGUGGGGUAAAGGCUUACCAAGGCGACGAUCCGUAGCUGGUCUGAGAGGAUGAUCAGUCACACUGGAACUGAGACACGGCCCAGACUCCUACGGGAGGCAGCAGUGGGGAAUAUUGGACAAUGGGCGAAAGCCUGAUCCAGCCAUGCCGCGUGUGUGAAGAAGGUCUUCGGGUUGUAAAGCACUUUAAGUUGGGAGGCGUUACCAACAGAAUAAGCACCGGCUAACUUCGUGCCAGCAGCCGCGGUAAUAC
rnacentral:rRNA from 1 species